CGGGCUGGCGGGGUGCUUACACAUGCAAGUCGAACGAUGAUGCCCAGCUUGCUGGGUGGAUUAGUGGCGAACGGGUGAGUAACACGUGAGUAACCUGCCCCUGACUCUGGGAUAAGCGUUGGAAACGACGUCUAAUACUGGAUAUGAUCACUGGCCGCAUGGUCUGGUGGUGGAAAGAUUUUUUGGUUGGGGAUGGACUCGCGGCCUAUCAGCUUGUUGGUGAGGUAAUGGCUCACCAAGGCGACGACGGGUAGCCGGCCUGAGAGGGUGACCGGCCACACUGGGACUGAGACACGGCCCAGACUCCUACGGGAGGCAGCAGUGGGGAAUAUUGCACAAUGGGCGAAAGCCUGAUGCAGCAACGCCGCGUGAGGGAUGACGGCCUUCGGGUUGUAAACCUCUUUUAGUAGGGAAGAAGCGAAAGUGACGGUACCUGCAGAAAAAGCACCGGCUAACUACGUGCCAGCAGCCGCGGUAAUACGUAGGGUGCAAGCGUUGUCCGGAAUUAUUGGGCGUAAAGAGCUCGUAGGCGGUUUGUCGCGUCUGCUGUGAAAUCCCGAGGCUCAACCUCGGGCUUGCAGUGGGUACGGGCAGACUACAGUGCGGUAGGGGAGAUUGGAAUUCCUGGUGUAGCGGUGGAAUGCGCAUAUAUCUGGAGGAACAUCGAUGGCGAAGGCGU
rnacentral:rRNA from 1 species